GAGCAGAGGCUGCUGACGGGGGCCACUGAGUGAAGUGUGGAGAACCUCUGGCUUCCAGAUGUUAGGCCUUCUGGGGAACACAACCCUUGUGUGUUGGAUCACAGGCACUGUGCUGGCUUUUUUGAUGUUGCUGCUGAUGCUGGCCCUCUGUCUUUUCCACAGGUCACAGGAACAUGAUGUGGAGAGAAACCGAAUCCGACAAGCCCGGCCUAGACUCUUCUACGGCCGGCGUCUGCGUCUCCCAAGAGUCGUUCACCAUCACCAUCACCGUGGCCCACAUGGGGUGACCAGUGUAGGCGUUCACCAGCACCAUCAUUCUCCCCAUCGUCUCCACCAGCACCGUCACCACCACCACCACGGUCAUGGAGCCCGCCGCUGAGGCCAAUAGAUAGCACCUACUGACUUUGCCCUCCACCCAGCAGCAAAAUGAGUGGAUCCUGAUGCUUCCAUAGCAAAGGGUGUAUCUCUGGGAUGGAUGAGGAUACUGGGAUCCUGGUCCUGCUUGGGUUUCAUUUGCAUACGAGCCCUUCUUCCUGUGCAUGACAAAGACCUGAGAACCCCCUGAUUGGCCCUCUGCACAAUGGAGGGCUUGAGCUUGGAGCAGGGCUGGUUGAACUUCCUACCUUGUGACUGCCACUCCUGGUGACCCUGGAAGCCUGGGUGGAUAUGGAGUGCUCUGGUUGGGGGGGCUCUGUGACAUGCUUCCAGGGGCAGAAUGUGGUCUGGGCAUUCUCAGCUGCUUGGCUGUAAGAAAUAAAAGCCACUAGAAAGCUUU
rnacentral:lncRNA from 1 species